rnacentral:rRNA from 1 species
UACGUAGGGGGCAAGCGUUGUCCGGAUUUAUUGGGCGUAAAGAGCGUGUAGGCGGCCAGACAGGUCCGUUGUGAAAACUCGAGGCUCAACCUCGAGACGUCGAUGGAAACCGUUUGGCUAGAGUCCGGAAGAGGAGAGUGGAAUUCCUGGUGUAGCGGUGAAAUGCGCAGAUAUCAGGAAGAACACCCGUGGCGUAGGCGGCUCUCUGGGACGGUACUGACGCUGAGACGCGAAAGCGUGGGGAGCGAACAGG